rnacentral:ncRNA from 2 species
GAAGUAAACCCAUAUCGAUUUCAUAUAGUUUCGAUAAUACGGAUCGAAAGUAUCUACUGGAGUACCUUAAAUAUUCCAUGCUAUGAAAUCAUUCUUUUCUUUU